GAGAUAGCUCAGUUGGCAGAGCAUGAGACUCUUAAUCUCAGAGUCAUGGGUUUGAGUCCCAUGUUAAGCA
rnacentral:tRNA from 1 species